rnacentral:tRNA from 1 species
AGCCCUGUAGUGUAGUGGUCAAUCAUCUGAGACUUUGGAUCUCGGGACCCCGGUUCGAAUCCGGGCAGGGCUA